UGAGCAAUUAAGAGAAAUUUUACUCACUGAUAGAAAUUAUAUUAGCCUAGAAAACAUGGUGCGUUUUUCAUAAUUCUCUGUCAUUCUUGCCCCUGAAAUAAGAAAGAUUUCCAGCCAACUAGUACUGGGUUUCUUUUAACACUAGUAUUUCUACUUUUUGGCUGUUCUAAGUUUCUCUAGUGAUAAUAUCAUUGAAAAUGUAAUUGUUGCACUCAAAUAUUUAUUUUAUUUCCUUGAACUAUUAAGUUUUCAUGAGAUGCUCAUAGAAUCUUUUGUUUCAUGGACCAUAAAUAAACCCCCAAAGCACCACUUCAGCACAUUUCUAAUUGUAAUGCACCGUGUAAUGUUAUAGGCCAUUAUACAGAUGUUUUCUGUUAUUGUUAGGUGGCAGACAAUGACAUUGAAAUGUGUGCUUGCCUUAGAGAGAUAGUGUGAACUCAAUCACGAGUCUUAAUGUAAUAGUUUUUUUUUUAACUCCAGAAACCCAAAUUUAUUUAGCUGUGUUUGCCCUUCAAGUAUGCGGUUACAUUCGGAUUCUUAGGAAUAACAAUCCAAGCCCUGAUUUCCCUGAAUUAAAUACAAAUGAAUAGUUUAAGAAAAAUCCCUGGCAAAAGAGGAAGUUUACUAAAAAACGACAACAAAAAAAACUGGCAAAGCUUCACGUGCUCUGAAGAAUCUAAAGCUUCUUUUCAUCAAUUGAAGAAAGCUUCCUAUGGCCCAUUUGUGAGGGAAAUAUGAAAUAGUAAGGGAAUAGUUACUGGGUAUCUAUUAAGUGGAAAUCAAAGUAUUAGGUAGUAGGACAACAGAGACAUGAUGAGAUGGUGAGGUAGUGGGGGAAAAACCCAAAUCCGUAUGCACCCCUGCCUUAAUUUCUUCUGAGUCCCCAAGCAGUGCGUUCCCCAGCUCAUCCAGCUGGCUCCUACCAUAGCCCUGCCCACUAGGGAACGCUGCUAUUCCAGCUGUAGGAAUAGAGUAUGGAAACGCCUUACUUCCCCUUGGGCACUACUACAGCUAGUUAGGAGAUCCAAAGUUAACUUGUAUUAAAAAAGAAAAACUUAAAUUGUAAUAAGGCAUAACUAAAGGCAAAAUGAGAGAGAGAGAGAGAGAGAGAGAGAGAGAGAACCAACGAUUAAUUUGUCAUAU
rnacentral:lncRNA from 1 species